UGCAAAUAAAUAGUACGCUAAAUAAAAACGAAAACUCAUGGUAUUGAUAUGUAAAAAUGGACUUUGGGGUGAAUAUGAUAUGCAUGUGUUUGGCAUGCAUAUAAUACGCAGUUUUCGCAUGCAUAUGACACAAAAUUUGUUGGCGUGCAUAUAAUAUGAAGGUUUUUGCAUACAUAUGACACGCAUCUACCCCACAACCCUAAACAUACCCAAUGCGUGGCAUAUACAGGCCAAAAUCCACUUUUGCAUAUCAAUACCACAAGUUCUCCUUUUUAUUUGGUGUAAUAUUUAUACGCAUGUUCAUCGGAUUGCAAUUUCAUGAAUGAAAUCAUUUUGUGAACUGGGUCAAACUGAUUUUCUAUAGUAAUUGGGUGAAUUAUUCCUUUAAUUGUAAAAGCUACAUGCAACAAACCAUGUGGUAUCACCGGAGGCGGUUAGAAUCUCUGUGUCACUGAGGAAGCGUGCACAGGACAAGUAACCUAUGAAAAACAAGAUAACAUAACUGACACUUAAUUACAAGCAUGCAAGAAAGUAAAGUGUCUUGUCUGACUUAUGUAUAUACCUGUGUGAGCAUCCAGUUCUUUCACCGUCUUGAUUACAGGUGUCUUCAAGUUGUAGACAGUACACAUGUUGUCAAGACCACCGCUGGCCACGAGGUUUCCAGAAGGAGCAUAUGCACAGGUCAUCACCCAUGAGGACUUGAGGGGAACAGCAUUGACCUAAAGAAAGAGGCAAAUAUUUGAACUUUUCCUUGAAGAGAUUCUGAUGUAAAGUUAAAGGUAGUGUCAUUUCUGAACAGUAGGCUAAAUGUAACUGCAUAAUAAUGAGGUUUUCAAAGAUGUUUUCAAGCGUUUGAUGCUUAAACAGACAGUCCUGUCGAAAACUGUCAACAACAAAUCAACACAUUGACCCAGAGGGUUUCAUUCACUAACCAUGCUAAAUUGCAUACUAUAGGUGCAAUUAUCUAAUUUUAUGCAUGGAUAUUUCAUUUACAUU